ACGGAAGGCAGCAGUGGGGAAUAUUGCACAAUGGGCGAAAGCCUGAUGCAGCGACGCCGCGUGAGUGAAGAAGUAUCUCGGUAUGUAAAGCUCUAUCAGCAGGGAAGAAAAUGACGGUACCUGACUAAGAAGCCCCGGCUAACUACGUGCCAGCAGCCGCGGUAAUACGUAGGGGGCAAGCGUUAUCCGGAUUUACUGGGUGUAAAGGGAGCGUAGACGGUUUGGCAAGUCUGAAGUGAAAUGCGGGGGCUCAACUCCUGAACUGCUUUGGAAACUGUCGAACUAGAGUGCAGGAGAGGUAAGUGGAAUUCCUAGUGUGGCGGUGAAAUGCGUAGAUAUUAGGAGGAACACCAGUGGCGAAGGCGGCUUACUGGACUGUAACUGACGUUGAGGCUCGAAAGCGUGGGGAGCAAACAGGAUUAGAUACCCUGGUA
rnacentral:rRNA from 1 species